rnacentral:rRNA from 1 species
UACGGGGGGGGCAAGCGUUGUUCGGAAUUACUGGGCGUAAAGGGCGCGUAGGCGGUUCGAUAAGUCAGCUGUGAAAACCAUGGGCUUAACUCAUGGCCUGCAGUUGAGACUGUCGGGCUGGAGUGUGGGAGAGGAGAGUGGAAUUCCUGGUGUAGCGGUGAAAUGCGUAGAUAUCAGGAGGAACACCGGUGGCGAAGGCGGCUCUCUGGACCACAACUGACGCUGAGGCGCGAAAGCCAGGGGAGCAAACGGG